CUCCAACCUCAGCUUUUCUUAGUGCCUGAAGUGUCUGCAAGUGGAAAUCCAGAAGAAGACAGAGAGAAACUGAGUUCUUGACAAUGCAUUCACUAAAGAAAGUGACUUUUGAAGAUGUAGCUAUUGACUUCACCCAGGAAGAGUGGGCCAUGAUGGACACAUCCAAGAGAAAGCUGUACAGAGAUGUAUUGCUGGAAAAUGUCAGUCACCUGGUGUCCCUCGGGUACCAGACAAGCAAAUCCUAUAUAAUUUUGCAGCUGGAGCAAGGAAAAGAGCUCUAGCGGGAAGGAAGAGAAUUUCUCCAAGGUCAGAAUCUGGACAAGAAAAGUGCCCUUAAGAAAAAACACACGAUAUCCAUGCAUCCUAUCAGAAAAGAUGCAUCCACCGGUAUGACAAUGGAGAACUCUCUCAUUCUGGAGGAUCCCUUUGAAUGUAAUGAUUUGGGAGAAGAUUGCACUCACAAUUCCACAAUGACUCAGUGUUUGUUAACUCAGAGUGGAAAGAAACCCUACAUCAGCAAACAGUGUGGAAAAUCCCUUAGUAAUCAGUUGUCCCCUAAACCACAUAAAUGAAUUCAUACUAAACGUAGAUCAUAUCAGUGUAAUAUAUGUGAAAACGCCUAUACUAACUGCUUUCACCUUAGAUGGCACAAGAUGACUCACACCGGAGAGAGGCCAUAUGCAUGUCAUCUAUGUGGAAAAUCCUUCACUCAGUGUUCUCACCUUAGAAGACAUGAGAAAACUCACACAGGAGAGAGACUGUAUAAGUGUCAUCAGUGUGGGAAAGGCUUUAUUCAAUCCUUUAACCUUCAAAGACAUGAGAGAUCUCACCUUGGAUAAAAGCGUUAUGAAUGUGAUAAAAGUAGGAAAGUCUUUAGUCAAAACUCUGGCUUUAGAGGACACAAAAGAAUUCACACUGAAGAGAAACCACAUGCUUGUCUUCUAUGUGGGAAAGCCUUCAGUCUAUCUUCUGACCUUAGAUGAUAUGAGAGAACAUGCACUGGAGAAAAUCCAUAUGAAUGCCAUUUAUGUGGGAAAGCCUUUAGUCAAUGUACUAAUCUGAAAUAACAUCAGAAAAUUCACCCUGGAGAGAAACUCAUAAAUGUCUUCACAACAUAGUCUGACUUUAGAUGAUAUGGUGUUAGGAAUGACGAAUGUAAGGAAUAUGGAAGAGACUUCAGCUGUAGUUGUAACAUCUAAACAUGCCAAAGGACUCACAUUUUGAAGAAUUACUGUAAUCAACAUGGACGUUACUUCAGUUACCUUUGUUCUUCAGCCCACAUCAAUAAAUUCAUAUGGAAGGGAAAUUGUACGACAUGUGUGUACCAAAGACUUGUUAGUGAUCUGAUCAUAAAUGACACGAGAGAGCUGAAACUGUCAACAUAAUAAACUAAAAGUCUUCAGCAACAGUUUUAACAACUUAAAACGUGUGGGACUCUCAGGUAGAGAAUCUCUAGCUCUGCGUUCAGUGUGAAAACGUUUUUAUGUGCAAUUUCUUGUCAAAUAACAUCAGAAAACUUUACUUGGAUGAACCCUUUAGUUGUCUUUUCUGUGAAUAAACAUUCAGUCAAGCACUAGGCUUGAUGUUCACAAGAAAACACAGUGAUAAAAUGCUGCUAACACGGAAAAUAAGAGAGGAAAUCCUUUAUAAGCUAAAUAUGAAGGGAAAGUCUUUCCAAGAGAAAUGAAUCCUCUUGGAAUACCAAACACUUCUUACUGGAGAAGUUAUGCCUUGAAAGAUCACAAGAAUUCCUUUCUUCACAGAGUAACACUUGUGGCACAUGUGAGAUUUCACACUGGACAAAACACGGUUAGCAUCUUGAAAGGAGAAGAUUCUUUAGUGGUAGUUCAUUUCUUAGUUGACAUUACGUUUCUCACAUUGAGGAGCUAUCAAACUUGAAAAUCACUGUGGAGAAACCUGAUAGAUUUCUCAUCAGAAAAGUGAGUCAAGAAGGUGAACCUCUAGAAAAAACUCUUAAACACAUAGUUUAGCAAAAUAAUUCAGAAAUUUGAGAAAAUGUCUAUUCAUAAAAAUGCAGCACAUAAAUGUAUAAUAGCAAAGUGACCUGGGCAUAAAUUGAAUGCAGAAUUAUAUAAGAAAUCUCAUUAAAUAUUUCCAAACGAUCAAUACUUACAAAUAUUGAAAGAAUACAAUCGGUUGUUGAAAAAACUUAGUGUGUUGGCGAAGUCCUUCUUUCAUUUAUGCAGCCCUAACAAAUCGAUUUGCAUCUGCACUCCUUGGCUUAUGGGUCAAGAUUCUACCCCAACUUCUGAGUCUCCCCAGUCUUCAACAGCUCUUUCCUCACAGCUCACCUCCCUUUACUUCAAUGUCCACUAAAACCAGUUGUUUCCAUCCAACCCUGGAACUGACACAUCAGGGAUCUUCAGCCCCACUUGCCAGAUUUCUCAGUGUGUCAUUGCAUAGAUUUAGCAAGGAAAUGGAGGCUGAAUCAAAGACACCUAGUAUAUGCAUUUGGGUGCCCCAGCCCUUGCCUCUAUCUCUGAGUAGUUACCUGGGAUCAGAGAAUAAGGCAGCCCUGCUCUUCUAUCCCUCAGAAAUCUCUUGAAAUUUUGUCCCUGAAGCCUCUCUAAGUGGAGGUAGCAGUUCAUCUCAUGGCACCCCAGAGUAUAUUCAGGUAAGUCCUGAGUUAUUACACAGAGACAGACACAGCUGUGCUCCUUUUACUUCUGUCCAGAAGAUAAAACACCAGCAUGAGAAAACAGCCGAACCUGUCAGACACCAUGCAAGCCUUUCCUAUAUUUGAUUCAAUGUACUUUUCCAGAAGCAAAAUAAAAGUUCUCACAGAGGGGGCCUCCUCU